UCCUGGCCGGCGAGUGGCGAACGGGUGAGUAAUAUAUCGGAACGUGCCCAAGAGUGGGGGAUAACUAGUCGAAAGAUUAGCUAAUACCGCAUACGAUCUACGGAUGAAAGUGGGGGAUUCGCAAGAACCUCAUGCUCCUGGAGCGGCCGAUAUCUGAUUAGCUAGUUGGUGGGGUAAAAGCCUACCAAGGCGACGAUCAGUAGCUGGUCUGAGAGGACGACCAGCCACACUGGGACUGAGACACGGCCCAGACUCCUACGGGAGGCAGCAGUGGGGAAUUUUGGACAAUGGGGGCAACCCUGAUCCAGCAAUGCCGCGUGUGUGAAGAAGGCCUUCGGGUUGUAAAGCACUUUUGUCAGGGAAGAAACGGUGAGGGCUAAUAUCCCUUGCUAAUGACGGUACCUGAAGAAUAAGCACCGGCUAACUACGUGCCAGCAGCCGCGGUAAUACGUAGGGUGCAAGCGUUAAUCGGAAUUACUGGGCGUAAAGCGUGCGCAGGCGGUUGUGUAAGUCAGAUGUGAAAUCCCCGGGCUCAACCUGGGAAUUGCAUUUGAGACUGCACGGCUAGAGUGUGUCAGAGGGGGGUAGAAUUCCACGUGUAGCAGUGAAAUGCGUAGAGAUGUGGAGGAAUACCGAUGGCGAAGGCAGCCCCCUGGGAUAACACUGACGCUCAUGCACGAAAGCGUGGGGAGCAAACAGGAUUAGAUACCCCUGGUAGUCCACGCCCUAAACGAUGUCUACUAGUUGUCGGGUCUUAAUUGACUUGGUAACGCAGCUAACGCGUGAAGUAGACCGCCUGGGGAGUACGGUCGCAAGAUUAAAACUCAAAGGAAUUGACGGGGACCCGCACAAGCGGUGGAUGAUGUGGAUUAAUUCGAUGCAACGCGAAAAACCUUACCUACCCUUGACAUGGUCGGAAUCCUGCUGAGAGGCGGGAGUGCUCGAAAGAGAACCGGCGCACAGGUGCUGCAUGGCUGUCGUCAGCUCGUGUCGUGAGAUGUUGGGUUAAGUCCCGCAACGAGCGCAACCCUUGUCAUCAGUUGCUACAUUUAGUUGAGCACUCUAAUGAGACUGCCGGUGACAAACCGGAGGAAGGUGGGGAUGACGUCAAGUCCUCAUGGCCCUUAUGGGUAGGGCUUCACACGUCAUACAAUGGUACAUACAGAGGGCCGCCAACCCGCGAGGGGGAGCUAAUCCCAGAAAGUGUAUCGUAGUCCGGAUUGGAGUCUGCAACUCGACU
rnacentral:rRNA from 1 species